AGUCCUAACAGACACAAAGGUGUAUGCGCUUCAUAACAGAGCUUUGAACUACGUGCGGCAAGACUGGACAGACGGAAGAGAGAAGUGGACAGAGGCCCAGGGAGCCUGUGUGCGUGCGGGUCAGCACACAGACACAGGGCCCCAGGCCAGCAGCCCCGGGUGCGUUCUGCACAGACAGCCUACAGAUCAAGAGCAAAACCCUUCCCCUCCAGAGACGAAAGCUCCCGAUGCAAUCAGGUGAACGCAGAUGAAUGUGAUCAGGUCAGCAGGGGAAGUCCCCUGCUCCUCGCCGCUUGCCGGGGGCUUCUUGGUGGUGAGUUUGGCUGCAAGAGGCGUGUUGUUUUCAGCUGCUGAUGGGUGGCUAGGGAUAAAUCCAGAAGUGGAAUUGCUGAAUUGUAUGGUAAUUCCGUGUUUAACUUUUUGACAAGUCGCUCUUCUGUUUUCCAUGACGAUGGUACCCCUGUACGUUACCACCACCAAGGCGCAGGGUUCCAAGGCUCCACAUCCUCGCCAACACCGGUUCUGUGUUGUUGUUGUUAAUAACCAACCUCGUGGGUGUGAGGUGGCAUGUCACAAUGGGGUUGAUUUGCGCUUCCCUGGUGAUGAGUGAUGUUGAGCCUGUUUUUGGGUGCUCGUUGGCCAACGAUUUUGUUGCCAAUGCCAGAAAGUGACGAGGGAUUAAAAGCAACAAGCAAAGCGAGCCUGAACACUGGAGGCACUGUCCCUAGGCUAUAACUGUCGCUCGGGCCUUUGCAUCUUUGGCCCUGAGGCCCGGGGUUUCUGCCCGACCCCGUCUCCUGGCCACGGCUGAGCAGAAGACAUGAUGCCCCCUCCUCCCUCGCAGACCCUGGACUGAAAGGCGACGUGGCAGGGGUCAUGGGCUCCGUGCCCCCUGAGACCUUCCAGCAGGUGGCUCACGCUGACGGGCCACAGCCUCCACCAGCUGCACCCCGUCCGGGGCCUGGAGCGGACAGAGGACACAGCGAACCCCACAUUCUGCCCCAGGCUCCCAGAUCUCGGCUCCCCUCCGCCCCACCACAUGAGCCAGCGCUGUGGCCCAUCUCCCCACACAGCUACUACUGCCCCUGCUCUGGGCCCAUCCAGGUCUCCACUCUGACCGUCUCCUGGAGCAAACAAUGUUGACAGGGGCACCUCUGCUCAGGCGGAGGCCACACCUGACGUGACGUGUCCGGGCGCACGUGGUCACACCACCGUGAGGAGCGUGACAUGUGUAU